UCAUCCAUGCCUUGAGGGUUAGAAACAGCAAAAAACAGAGAGAAAAGACAGCCGACACUUGGCGCAUCCAGGAAGCCCUAAAAAAAGCGAAGAAGAAGGAAAGAAAGAAAAAAUUGGAAACGCAAGACACCAAAACAAGAGGAGAGGGUGAAUUCCAAAAAAAAGCAGAGCAUAACAGAUAGAAAUACAAGCGCAAAACACAGAAAUUCAGAGAAUGGGGACGAAUUUCAACUUCAAGAACUUCUCAAAUGACCCGUCAGAUGCCGUUGGUGGCCGGCCACCGGGGAAUUCUCCGCUGACCAGACAGUCAUCGAUCUAUUCGUUAACUUUUGACGAACUUCAAAACACAAUGGGAGGAUCAUUAGGUAAGGACUUUGGGUCAAUGAACAUGGAUGAGCUGUUGAAGAAUAUAUGGAGUGCAGAGGAGACACAGACCAUAGCAACAGCCACCUCUACUGGGGUCCAAGAGGGUGGUGCUCUCCAGCGUCAGGGCUCGCUGACGCUGCCGCGGACGCUGAGUCAGAGGACGGUGGAUGAGGUCUGGAAAGACAUGUCAAAGGAAUAUGUUAUUAACGGGACUAGUGCUGGAGCUGCUAAUAAUGUGCCCCAGAGGCAGCCCACUUUAGGAGGGAUGACUUUGGAGGAGUUUUUGUUGAGAGCUGGGGUGGCGAUAGAGGAUAUUCAAGUGGCUCCAAAGGUUAAUACUAAUGGUGGACUUUUGGGUGAUUUAUCACGGUCGGCCAAUAAUAGUUUAGCGAUUGGUUUUCAGCAGAAUAGGGGUGUAGGAUUGGAUAACGAUAAUACUAAUCAGAUCUCUUUGCAAUCGUCUAAUUUGCCUUUGAAUGUUAACGGUGUUAGAUCAAAUCAGGCACAGGUGCAGCAGCAGCAGCAGCAAAUAUUUCCUAAGCAGCCUAAUAUGGGAUAUGUGACGCAGCCCAAUAACGAUAGUACUAAUCAGAUCUCUUUGCAAUCGUCUAAUUUGCCUUUGAAUGUUAAUGGGGUUAGAUCAAAUCAGGCACAGGUGCAGCAGCAGCAAAUAUUUCCCAAGCAGCCUAAUUUGGGAUAUGUGACGCAGAUGCCUUUACAAAGUGGUCCUGGAAUUAGAGGUGGAAUGUUGGGGAUUGGAGAUCAAGGAAUGGAUAGUGGUUUGAUGCAGGGUGGAGGGAUGGGAGUGGUUGGAUUGGGAGGUAUCGCAACGGGGUCACCUGCGAACCAGCUGUCAUCAGAUGGGAUUGGGAAGAGUAAUGGGGAUACAUCUUCUGUAUCUCCAGUGCCUUACGUAUUCAGAGAAAGUGUAAGGGGAAGGAGAGCGGGUGGUGCUGUUGAGAAGGUGGUUGAGAGGAGGCAAAGGAGAAUGAUUAAGAACAGAGAGUCAGCUGCAAGGUCUCGUGCUCGCAAGCAGAUUAUGGGGCAGAAUGGUAAUGUGAUAGCGAUCUGACAUGACAAGAGAUGAAAGUUUUUGAGAAGUCAAGGUCAUGAGAAGUUAUAAAGAUCCAGUUUGUUACAAGGCUUAUACCAUGGAAUUGGAAGCAGAAGUGGCAAAGUUAAAAGAGGAAAACGAAGAAUUGCGGAAGAAACAGGCGGAAAUGAUGGAAAUACAGAAAAAUCAGGUCGCGGAGAUGAUGAAUAUGCAGCAGGGGGGUAAGAAACGGUGCUUGAGACGAACUCAGACAGGUCCAUGGUGAAUUGAAAGCGUUUUGUGAUUAUCCCCGUUGAAAAUCAUGUAUGGUAGGUGACUGUACAUAUUUAAUGGAAUUGUGUUUUCAUUAAAUGGAGAAGAUACGAAUUUUACAGUGAGAAGAUCCGGAGGUUUACUGUGAUGUAAAUCAAACCUUCCAAUAUGUACUAACUGUGCUUGCAUCUCUUCUGAACUUCUUUGAUAAGUAAUUAGAUUGGCAAAUGCAUUUUGUGUUGGUGACCAUUU